UUUUAGCUCUCUAGCGGCCAGCUUCGCUUGGAGCUCCAGCGCCUUGCGCCAAGAGAAAUCAUGACAUUAACAUGAUGUUAAAUGGCACUACAGAGGUUGUCAGGGACAUUAAACAUCAUCACGCCGAACGGGAAAAAACUUUGCAGAUAAACUCAGAGCUCUACAGUGCGACCAUUUCACUCGCAUUUGUGACUGAAAAGUAAUUUGUGCGACUGUGACUAAAUAUUUAUUCGCACUGGUGCGAGUGACCUGUUCGGAGUUGUAGAAUACAAUCGGAAUAAAAACUACAGGAAGUCCAAAAUGCAUCUACAGUUACUUUCACACUGCUUUUCAUCACCUCAGUCAACCGAACAAUCAUGCCGAUCGAUUGCUUCAGCAGCCACCUCAGCCAAAAUCCACCAUGCCUGAGGAGAACAGGCACCAUGGUAACCAGUUGGCAAGCAGAAGUGCAGCUCUUUUGUUUUCUCUCUGAUCAUGACUGCAUGCAAUAAGCCUG
ensembl:lncRNA